AAGAAUAUAACAAAAAGAAGAAGAAAAAGAAGAAAGGAACAGUGAAAUAACAUGCCUUAUACACAUGUUCCUUAACAACACUAAAAACAAGAAAGUUAAAUGAUGUGUUUGGUGUCUCAGUGGAUUCCAACAACGGUUAUAAUUUUAAAUUGCCACAGCUUCAUCAUCUCUUGUUCUUUGUCUCCCGCCAUACUUUGUUAGGAAAACCAGGAACAAAUAAUCGUAUCAAUUUGCGGAAUAUAAUUCACAAGUCCCAAUCCUUUUCCCUCUUUGUGCAAUAAAAAACAGAAUCAAACAAUGAACAAGAUAAUACAAACAAUCACACAAAUCAAUACCAAGAUUUUUACGUGGAAAACCCGAUGCGAGAAAAACCACGGGAUCGUAGUCCACCUAAAAACUUCCACUAUCAACAAAUAAUGGGUUCACAACUGUUCUUCCUCAGAUUAACUAAGGGCUACAACAUAAUAUCAUCAAGAACAAUCUAUUCUUGAAUACAACAAGAUUUAAGAGAAGUGUUUGAGAAAAACUCACAACACUGACAGCGUUUUCUGUCAAAACGGCUAGCUUCCACACCAAUCUUCAAUCCAACCGUCAAAGAAGAGUAACGUGUCUAGAAGCUCUAAAAUUUCAGCCCGAUCCAACGGUAACGAGCUGGGAACGAAGGAAACAGGACUGCACUGCUCAACUUCCUUUCUUUCUCUCUUUUCUCUUCCUCUCUGUUCAAUGCUACUCUUCUACAGUAGCAGACAUUUUAAAUUCAGAGAGGCAGCCAACUACCUCUCUUAUUAAUGUGGUGGUCCCACCAUCACAUGGUGCGGGACCACACACAACAAAUCUCCCCCUCACGCACCAUGUGAGGAAUUCGCCAUACUGGCGAUCAAUAUGUAAACUUCAAUUUAGGAGGCUCUGACAAGCCUGCUUCCCUUUUGCAAAACUCAAACUUCUCUCUCGGUAGAGGUUUGGUCAUCAUGUCUGACACGUUGUCAUCGGUAUGGAUCUUCUCAACAACAAAUGACUUCAUCUCCAUAGCAUCUCGAAUCCAUUGAUAUCUAACCUCAAUGUGCUUUGAUCGAGAGUGAAAAGUAGGAUGCUUACUGAGAUGGAUUGCACUUUGACUAUCACAGUGCAACACAAAGUUCUCUUGAACUAGGCCAAGUUCAUGUAAGAACUUCUUCAUCCAACAACUCUUUGCCCCCUUCAGUAAGAGCAAUAUAUUCAGCUUCUGUAGUGGAUAAUGCAACACAUUUUUGCAACCUUGAUUGCCAUGAGACUGCUCCCCCUGCAAACUUCAUCAAGUAUCCUGAUGUGGACUUUCUAGAAUCAACAUCACCAGCCAUAUCUGCAUCUGUGUAUCCAUCCAACACAGGUUUAUUAUUACCAAAACAUAGGCUGAAACUAGAAGUACCUUUGAGAUACCUGAGUAUCCAUUUCACUGCUGACCAGUGUUCUUUACCAGGAUCGGAGAGGAACCGACUAACCACACCAACUGCAUGAGCUAUAUCCGGCCUUGUGCAAACCAUGGCAUACAUCAAGCUACCAACUGCGGAUGCAUAAGGAACCUUUUUCAUCUCAUCUCUUUCUUCAUCACUUGAAGGACACUGCUUAGAACUUAGUUUAAAGUGGCUUGCAAGUGGAGAACAAACCGGUUUGGAGUUGCUCAUGUUGAAUCUCUCAAGUACCUUUUGAACAUAUCUCUCCUGAGAUAGCCAAAGUUUCUCCUUCUUCCUGUCACGUGUGAUCUUCAUGCCAAGAAUCUGUUUUGCCGGUCCUAAGUCUUUCAUUGCAAAAGACUUGCUUAACUCUUCCUUUAACAUCUGAAUCUUCUUAGCAUCAUGGCCAACAAUCAACAUAUCAUCCACAUACAACAGGAGAAUAAUAAAGUUUCCAUCUGGAAACCUUUUCAUAAAUACACAAUGAUCAGAAGUGGUCCUGUCAUAACCAUGAUCCACCAUGAAAGAAUCAAACUUCUUGUACCAUUGUCUUGGAGCUUGCUUUAAACCAUAUAGGCUCUUUUUCAACUUGCAAACUAACUGCUCUUUACCUUUUGCUUCAAACCCUUCAGGCUGCUCCAUGUAGAUCUCUUCAUCUAAAUCACCAUGGAGAAAGGCAGUUUUCACAUCAAGCUGUUCAACUUCAAGAUUCAAACUAGCAGCUAAACCAAGCACAACUCGGAUUGAAGACAUCUUGACCACUGGUGAAAAAAUUUCUUCAAAAUCAAUACCCUUCUUCUGACCGAAACCUUUCACAACCAAUCUUGCCUUGUACCUUGGCUGUGAGCAAUGUUCAUCAAUUUUCACCUGAACACCCAUUUGUUCUUGAGUGCUCUCUUACCUUUAGGAAGCUUCACUAACUCAAAAGUAUGGUUUUCAUGCAAGGAUUUCAUCUCUUCUUGCAUUGCUUUCAACCACUCACUUUUCUUCUCAUGUGACAUAGCUUCAUCAAAGCAUUCUGGCUCUCCCCCAUCAGUAACCAGCACAUACUCAUGAGGAGAGUAUUUGGUGGAAGGUUGGCGAGGUCUAGUUGACCUCCUCAAUUGUGGCUCAUCUGGAGCUUCCUGCAUAACCUGUUCAGGAAUAACAUCAAUAUCAUCAUUAGCUGAUUCAGGAUCACCAACUAAUGGCUCAUUAAGAAACCACCAUUAUCAUCAUUUUGCAAAUCUCCCGUGAUUAGCAGGCAUCAAAGGUAACUGUGGAGUAGGUAUUGGAUUUGAAUUAGAUGGAUAAAAGUAGUAGACUCUGUUUUCUCCUUCUGUUCAAAGUCUUCAAUGGUUUGAUCUUCAAAGAAGAUAACAUCUCUGCUUCUCACAAUUUUCUUCUCCUUUGGAUCCCAUAACCUAUAGCCAAACUCAUCAUCUUCAGAGCCCAAGAAAAUACACUGUUUUGUCUUGCUGUCAAGCUUAGACCUUUCAUCCCUUGGAACAUGUACGAAUGCUCUGCAUCCAAACACUCUCAAGUGUGCAUAAGAGACAUCCUUUCCUUUCCAAACUCUAUUUGGAACAUCAAAAUCAAGAGGAACUGAUGGAGAAAGGUUGAUCAUGGCAACUGCAGUCUUCAUUGCCUCACCCCAAAAGGACUUAGGCAGCUUUGCAUGAGAGAGCAUACAUCUAAUUCUUUCAACAAUGGUUCUGUUCAUUCUCUCAGCCACUCCAUUCUGCUGUGGAGUCUUAGGAACUGUCUUCUCCAAUUUGAUACCAUGUUCCCUGCAAUACUUCUCAAAAGGACCCUGUAUUCACCACCAUUGUCAGCUCGAAUACAUUUCAGCUUUCUACCAGUUUCUCUUUCAACUCUGGCAUGGAAAUCCUUAAAGACAUCAAGCACUGAUCUUUGGAUUUCAAACAAGUGGCCCAAAUUUUCCUGGAGUGAUCAUCAAUAAAACUAACAAAGUACAAUGCACCUCCAAGAGACUUAUCAAUCAUAGAGCAAACAUCAGUAUGAACUAAAUCAAGAACAUGUGAUCUUCUAUGUGAAGGUGAUCUUUGAAAUGCGACUCUAUGUUGUUUACCAACUAAACAAUGAGUACAUGUGUUCAAGUUCAUACCUUUUAAUGGAAGGUAGUUCUUCUUGGCAAGGAUGCCAAGGCCUUUCUCACUCAAAUGUCCAAGCCGUUUAUGCCAUAAAUCAGUAGAGCAAUCUUCAAUUGCAUUCACCUCCCCUUUGAUCACCUUGGCUUGUGACAUGUAGAGACCCAUCUUUUCCCUUUAGCAACAAUUAGGGAAUUUCUGGAGAGUUUCCAUUUACCAUCUCCAAAGAAAUUGUAAUAGCCUUCUUCAUCAAGAGUACCUGUAGAGAUCAAAUGUAGGCGCAUAUCAGGCACAUGCCUAACAUCUUUGAGUAGCAACUUGCACCCAGUAUUGGUUUCCAACCAAAUGUCUCCAAUGCCCACAACACUAGCCAUCCCUUGAUUUCCCAUCCUAACUUGACCAAAGUCACCAGCAGUGUAGGAUGUGUAAAAUCACGUCGGGUGUACAUGGUAAGAAGCUGCUGAAUCUGCAACCCAGGUGGUAUCCUGACAUGCAAGAUUAACACAACCAUCAUCACAAACAAUGGCAACAUCACCAUCAAAUACAACUGCAGCUGUACCAUUCUCUUCAUUCUUGUCUUCAUCUUUGCCCUUUUUAUCUCUUUUGUACUUUCUACAAUCUUUUUGCAUAUGCCCAGGCUUGUCACAAUAAUAACACUUGAAACCCUUCCUUGACUGAGAUCUUCCUCUUGGCUUCCAUUUGCCUUUUCUAUUGCUGGAUUCUCUAUCUUGCUUGCUGUGAGAGAACCUGCUUGGACUUCUCCCUCGACUUUCUGUAACAAGUGCAUGAGACUCGGAAGUGCUUUCCUUUCCUCCUCUUCUCUUCGUUGAGGAUACAAUCCUUCACUGUUUUCAAAGUGAUCUUUCCAUUCGGAGUAGAAUUGCUAAGUGACACCACCAAAGUCUCCCAACUAUCCGGCAAUGAACUCAAUAGGAUUAAUGCUUGCAUUUCAUCGGCUAACUCAAGAUUCAUCAAUGACAGCUGAUUCAAGAACCCUUGGAAUACAUUUAUAUGCACCGAAGCAUCUUCACCAUCUCUAUACUUCAAAUUCACAAGGUCUCUAAUUACAAAAACCUUGUUUUGUGCACUCUCCUUGGCAAAUGUUUCUUCCAACAUCUUCCAAACUUAUAGCAGUCAUGUUCUUGAGAAAUAUGAUUAAUGGACUUAGAAGAUACCCAUUUUCUAACAUUAGCGGUAGCCUUUCUAUUAAGUCCAUUCCAUUUUGCAUCAUCCAUUUCAUCAGGCUUUAUUCCUUUACAUUCAAUCAAAGCCAAAUCAUUGCAAUAUAAGUGAUCCUCCAUCAUUGUUUUCCAUAGAAAAUAAUUUGAGGAAGUGAGCUUUAUCAUGCCCGAAUCUUCCUUCUCCAUUUUAACUGCACAAAAAUUCAAUCUACACAACCAGUGCUCUGAUACCACUUGUUGGGAAAACUAGGAACAACCGAACCAAUUUAGCGGAAUACAAUUCACAAGUCCCAAUUAUUUCCCUCUUUGUGCAGUAAAAACAGAAUCAAACAAUGACCAAAUAUAAUGCAAAAAUCACACAAAUCAACACCAAGAUUUUUACGUGGAAAACCCGAUGCGGAAAAACCACGGGACCGUAUCCACCUAAAAACUUCCACUAUCAACAAAUAAUGGGUUCACAACUGUUCUUCCUCAGAUUUAACUAAGGGCUACAACAUACAUAUAAUCAAGAACAAUAUAUUCUUGGAAUACAACAAGAUUAAAGAGAGAAGUGUCUGAGAAAAACUCAUAACACUGAUAGCCCAUUUUCUAUCAAAACAGCCAGCUUCCACACAACCAAUCUUCGAUCCAACCGUUUAGAAUGAAGAACAACGUGUCUAGAAGCUGCUGUCCAAAUUUCAGCCCGAUCCAACGGAUAACGAGCUGGAAAACGAAGAAUGAAGACAGACAGUGCAACUGCUUCAACUUCCUUUCUUUCUCUCGAUUUUCUCUUCUCUCUUCUGUUCAAAAAAUGGUACUCUUCUACAGUAGCAGACACAUUUAAAUCAGAGAGGCAGCCAACAAUCUCCUAGGUAGCAUUCGUAAGUGAAAGCCCUUAUCUAAAACAAGGUUUGAAACUUUGAGGGACAAAAUAGAUGUCUGCAGCAAAAGAUGCAAGGAGGAGUGUUGAUGGUUGCCUCAUUUGCUGCUGAAGAAGUGGUCUUCGAUGCUGAGAAGAUUGAGUCAAGAUUAUCUCCAAUAUGUUAGGAAGUUAGUUGCAAAUAAAGCUGCAAUAGAACAACUCUUUUCUGUUAAAAUCUUGUCAUUAUUUUUCUGAAAUUUGUUACUAGAACUCUUGCAUAAAAGAGUGAUUCAAUCAAUAAAAGACUUAUGCUUGCAGUCACAAUAACAACCAUUCUAUAUUUCUAGUUUUUACUCUAUUUUUCAGUGUCUCUAUACUGUCAACAAGAAGAAGUUGUAUUAACAAAUUCAUCUCCCUUGUCGCUUUGAACAAUUUUCACUUGAGUUUGAAACUACAAUUUUUAGCAUUCUGAAAAAUUUAGAAAGAAUAUAAAUGAUAUCUGAUUUAUGAUUCAUGGGGAAAAAAGGUCAUAUAUAGCAAGAGAAUUCAUUCAUCCUGCAUUUUGCAUAAGAGAUAACUUAUAGAGGCUAGUUUAAUUGAAAUGUCGAGCAGACGAGUUUUGAAAGAGAAAAGAUCAAACGGGGCUUGCUCAUGCACAUGAAGUAAUUUGAGAAGGAAUAGAGGAAGACAUGUUUGAAAAAGAUUUUCUUGAAUCUGGGUCUAAUAGCAUGUAAGAUUGAGUGAAAACUUGUCUGCCAUAUGCUUGGCUUGUAU
rnacentral:lncRNA from 1 species